UACGAGGGGAGCAAGCGUUGUUCGGAUUUACUGGGCGUAAAGGGCGCGUAGGCGGUCGUGACAAGUCACUUGUGAAAUCUCCGGGCUUAACUCGGAACGGUCAAGUGAUACUGUCGGACUAGAGUACAGAAGGGGCAACUGGAAUUCUCGGUGUAGCGGUGAAAUGCGUAGAUAUCGAGAGGAACACCUGCGGCGAAGGCGGGUUGCUGGGCUGUAACUGACGCUGAGGCACGAAAGUGUGGGGAUCAAACAGG
rnacentral:rRNA from 1 species